GACGAACGCUGGCGGCGUGCUUAACACAUGCAAGUCGAACGGAAAGGCCCUGCUUUUGUGGGGUUCUCGAGUGGCGAACGGGUGAGUAACACGUGAGUAACCUGCCCUUGACUUUGUGAUAUCUUCAGGAAACUGGGGCUAAUACCGGAUAGGAGCUCCUGCUGCAUGGGGUGGGUUGGAAAGUUUCGGCGGUUGGGGAUGGACUCGCGGCUUAUCAGCUUGUUUGUGGGGUAGUGGCUUACCAAGGCUUUGACGGGUAGCCGGCCUUAGAGGGUGACCGGCCACAUUGGGACUGAGAUACGGAGCAGACUCCUACGGGAGGCAGCAGUGGGGAAUAUUGCACAGUGGGCGGAAGCCUGAUGCAGAAACGCCGGGUGCGGGAUGACCGCCUUCGGGUUAUAAACCGCUUUCGCCUGUGACGAAGCGUGAGUGACGGUAAUGGGUCAAGAAGCACCGGCUAACUACGUG
rnacentral:rRNA from 1 species